UACGGCGGACAGUCGCUGCCGUCCGUUUAAACGGACGGUAGAGGAAAGUCGAGACACGCACACCGGUGCAUUCUUUGACCGGUGUAGUACGGUGCCCGGCGCAAGCCGGGGCAGGGCGACCUGACGACGGCAAAAGAAACCCAACGGGUUUUGAGUAGUCAUAAAGUGCCACAGAAACUAUGUCACCGGGUAACCGGUGAGUGCAAGGGUAAACUCCGCCAGCGUGCAACCCAAAUAGGCGGCCUUUGAGCCGCGGGUAGGGGCGCCCCCGUCCGGGGGAGGCAGACCCAUGGUCUGCUUAGAUAGAUGACUGUCGAAACAGAAUCUCGCUUACGGCC
rnacentral:RNase_P_RNA from 1 species